rnacentral:rRNA from 1 species
GAUGAACGCUGGCGGCGUGCCUAAUACAUGCAAGUCGAGCGAACAGAUAAGGAGCUUGCUCCUUUGACGUUAGCGGCGGACGGGUGAGUAACACGUGGAUAACCUACCUAUAAGACUGGGAUAACUUCGGGAAACCGGAGCUAAUACCGGAUAAGAUUUUGAACCGCAUGGUUCAAUAGUGAAAGACGGCCUUGCUGUCACUUAUAGAUGGAUCCGCGCCGUAUUAGCUAGUUGGUAAGGUAACGGCUUACCAAGGCAACGAUACGUAGCCGACCUGAGAGGGUGAUCGCCCACACUGAAACUGAGACGCGGUCAGACCCCCUAGGGGAGGCAGCAGUAGGGAUUUUUCCGAAAGGGGCGAAAGCUUAAGGGAGCACCGCGGCGGGAGUGAUGAGGGUUUUCGGAUGGAAAACCUCUUUUAUCGGGAAAAAAAAAACGUGAAAGUAACUGGGCCCGCCUGGACGGUACCGGAUAAGAAGCCCACGGUAAACUACU